rnacentral:rRNA from 1 species
AUUGAACGCUGGCGGAAUGCUUUACACAUGCAAGUCGAACGGCAGCACGGGGGCAACCCUGGUGGCGAGUGGCGAACGGGUGAGUAAUACAUCGGAACAUGCCCAGUCGUGGGGGAUAACGUAGCGAAAGUUACGCUAAUACCGCAUACGAUCCAAGGAUGAAAGCGGGGGACCGCAAGGCCUCGCGCGAUUGGAGUGGCCGAUGUCAGAUUAGGUAGUUGGUGGGGUAAAGGCUCACCAAGCCGACGAUCUGUAGCUGGUCUGAGAGGACGACCAGCCACACUGGAACUGAGACACGGUCCAGACUCCUACGGGAGGCAGCAGUGGGGAAUUUUGGACAAUGGGCGCAAGCCUGAUCCAGCCAUUCCGCGUGCAGGAUGAAGGCCUUCGGGUUGUAAACUGCUUUUGUACGGAACGAAACGGCCUGCUCUAAUACAGCGGGCUAAUGACGGUACCGUAAGAAUAAGCACCGGCUAACUACGUGCCAGCCGCCGCCGUAAUAC